UGCUCAUCCAUGCCUCUCCCAAGCUUGGCGUGCCCAGUCCCUGCAGAAGGUUCAUCCUGACACAGACCUCUCCCAUCCCCCUGUGUCUCGUGCUUCAUCCCUGAUGCCAUCUCUGGCUUUGUGACUGCUCUGGCCAUGCCACUCACUCCUGAGAGCCCAAGCCAACCUGUGUGUUCUGAGAAGCCAUCGGGUACCUUGCAGAGCUAUGCUCUUCGGACACGUGGCAGGUCUGCUGACACACUCGCUGAUCUGCAGUGGGACUGACAUACAGAUGACUCAUGUUGAUUAUUAUUUCAUUUCUAAUCCACCUAAUAAGCCAGCUGCUGUGGAGACACAUGCAAACAGCAAGAAACAGACACCACUCCCUUUGUAAGGAUCCUUUCUGGGAAACAAAGGAUUGCUCUGCUCCAGACAACUCUUGUACCGUGAGCAGGUCCAAGCAAUCCCAGAAUCAUACAACCCCUACCACUCUAUGAUUCUGUGAUCCUACUGCAAAUGGGCAGCUAUGGAAACGGGCUGUUCUGGUCAGAAAACAGUAUCGAAGUGAAAGCAGCUGACUUCACCCUGUCUUCAGACUUUCCUCAU